UGACUGAAUAUUUGUGCAGCUAAUUUCAC
rnacentral:sRNA from 1 species